AUACUUACCUGGCAGGGGAGAUACCAUGAUCACGAAGGUCGUUUUCCCAGGGCGAGGCUUAUCCAUUGCACUCCUGGAUGUGCUGACCCCUGCGAUAUAAUUUUAAAAAAAAGAAAAAGGAAAAGAAAUGUGGGAUUCAUAAAGAGUUCUCCUGCCCU